rnacentral:rRNA from 1 species
AUUGAACGCUGGCGGGAAUGCUUUACACAUGCAAGUCGAACGGUAGAGGGGGCAACCCCUUGAGAGUGGCGAACGGGUGAGUAAUAUAUCGGAACGUGCCAGUCGUGGGGAUAACGUAGCGAAAGUUACGCUAAUACCGCAUACGAUCUAAGGAUGAAAGCGGGGGAUCGCAAGACCUCGCGCGAUUGGAGCGGCCGAUAUCAGAUUAGGUAGUUGGUGAGGUAAAGGCUCACCAAGCCCAACCGAUCUGUAGCUGGUCUGAGAGGACGACCAGCCACACUGGGACUGAGACACGG